CCGCCGUAUUUGAUGGACGCCGGAUGUAAUUUUAUUAUAACACAUACAAUAUUGUUUCAAACAACAAAUAAGAAACAUGUCGCAACUCCAUGCUUCUAUACACUCUCUCUUAAAUUUUUCCAAACAUUUCCCUCACGGAUAGUCGAGGCCGUCCAGGAAAAACCAAAUUUUUUAAAAAGGAAACCUGUAUCCGACAACAAUGCACACGCCUAUCUCAGGAAAAAGUUAGUCAGACCUUACCUUAUAUAACGAGAGAGAUGACAAACAAACAAUUUUGAACAAAAAUAAAAUACUUCAAAAUAUAUAUAUAUAUAUACAUUAUGACUUAAGUUUAAGUCAUGCACGUACGAACGACGGCUAGAAAGUGACAUACAAAUCAAACAUACCUACAUACCCGGAUCUAAAUCAACCCCUCUGAUUGGACCAUACGCAUAUUACCCAUAACGUCAAUACAAUAUUUUCCCGCUUUACUUCGAACCGCGAGAAAAUAUUAGUAUUAUCUAUACUUCAUAUGCCUAUACAUAAAACAAGACAAACACAAAUAUCAAUUUGUCGACAGCCCGCCGUAUUUGAUAGAAAUUACACAAAGAACGGGGGCCAGAAUAAAUUAUAAGAGAUAAACAAAUAUUAUAAACCCAAUUUCUUCGAAACCUGCAAACGUUUCUCU
rnacentral:lncRNA from 1 species